rnacentral:lncRNA from 1 species
CUUGCGGCUUCCGUGGACGGUUCCACUAAGGGAUUAUGGAAAAUGGCGGUUACCUUUUCGACGAUCUCAAAAAAUGUACAAGUGUAACUUUUUAUCAUGGAUCUGAAUGCAGUUAAAUCCAGCUCCAUUUAGGAAAGGGGAAAAGAUGAGAUCUGUACCCCAGGUGGGUGCUAUAGAUUGCC